UACGGAGGAUGCGAGCGUUAUCCGGAUUUAUUGGGUUUAAAGGGUGCGUAGGCGGAACAUUAAGUCAGCGGUAAAAUCGAGGGGCUCAACCCCUUUAAGCCGUUGAAACUGGCGUUCUUGAGUGAGCGAGAAGUAUGCGGAAUGCGUGGUGUAGCGGUGAAAUGCAUAGAUAUCACGCAGAACUCCGAUUGCGAAGGCAGCAUACCGGCGCUCAACUGACGCUCAUGCACGAAAGCGUGGGUAUCGAACAGG
rnacentral:rRNA from 1 species